CUGGUUUGCGACAUAAUAAUCCCGAUAAUCCGUUGCAAAGCAUUCUGCCUGUUAGUCCACUGACUGAUCAAGUGGGCCAGCUGACCAAAUCAGUACAGAGUCUCAAAACAGAAAAAGAGGAACUGUCGGGCUGCAUAAAUGCUCUCGGGGAGCAGCAGAGAGAAGUAGCUCUGUCAGUCCAAUCACAGACGGAAGUGAAACAGCAGUUAACUCGGACAGUUUGGGGACUGAAGGAGGAAAAAGACAGCAUCUCUAAAUCCCUGGCUGGUCUCAAACAAGAGAGAGAGCAGUUUACGAGGACAGUCUGUGGGCUGAGGGAUGAGAGAGACCAGCUUAUAAAGUCUAUGAGUGGACUGAAAGAGGAGAAAGAGUCUUUAUCUGGCCUCGAAGGAGAAAAAGAGAAACUGUUGAAAUCUCUCUCAAGUGGAAAAGAUGAGAGAGAUCAAAUCAUCCAGUCACUACAAAGUUUACAGACAGAGAGUGACCAGUUAAGCCAGGCGGUGCUUUGUUUGAAACAAGAGCGAGACAAACUAGCUGAUUCCCUUAAGUGUCUGAAGCAACAGAGCGAUGAGGAACAAUCAUCUUACGGUUCACAAGAAGAGCGCGAUAAGUUAAUCAAAUCCGUCAGCAGUUUGAGAGAAGAUAAAGAGAGAAUUGAACAUUCAAUCAAUUGUUUUAAACAGGAAGAAAAGCAGAUACCGCUUUUACUUCAGGGCCUAAGAGAGGAAAGAAACCACCUUCAAGUUGCUCUGCCCAGCCAAACGCCAACAGAGGAGAGGAAUCAGAAGCAGCAUCUGCUGAAUACAAACAGCGUCGUUACAACAAAGACGCCUGAGACUCUUGUUGGAACAGCAGCUACACCAAGAUGUCCGACUCACGACCUCAGAGGAAACUCUGUACAGGAGCAAAGUGAUCUGAGGAGGGAAAUUGAAGCUUUGGGAGCAGAAUUAAAAAGGUCACGGGACGAACUGGACAAGAGCCGUAAAGAUACCAAGAGGCUGCACAGUGAAAUGUGUAACUCAGAAUCCAGGAAGGAGGAGGCCGAGAGAAAGGCAGCUGACGAGGUGGUGAGGCAGACAGUUGCUACCAAUCAGAUGGAAGAAACCAUAAAGGAAAAUGACAGCCUCAUGACGCAGGUGAAGGAGCUGCAGAGCAAACUGAGAGGCCUGCUCAGGGAGAAGACUGAUGCUCUGUCACUGAAGGCACAGAUAGAAGAGCAAAACAACAUCCUUACAGCUCAGCUCAAAGCUAAGACGGUGGCUCUAGAGGAGCUAAACUCGGAGUAUAUCGCUCUGAAACGAAAGCAGGGCAGCAAAGAUGAUCCGAGCACUGUUCUCGUCUCACUCAGGACACGUUACAACGACAUCAGAGCGAAGUAUGAUGCACUCCUGAAAAAGAGGAGCCAGAAUGAUCUGAAAAUAGCUCCUUUAAAGGCCAAGCUGUCUUGCCUGGCGGUGAAGUGUCAGGAGAGAAACAGCUUGUUGGUUCAGAUGAUGAAGGCCAUGCAUAGACGAGGCUGUGUGGACUCCACCCUCACACAGCAGGUGGAGCAGCUGCUCAGUGACGCUGCUCUGCAGGACUACACUGCAGCAUUCACACCGGGGGGCAACGUUAACACCCGAAAUUACAGCACUGGGUAUAUACCAGGAUUUAUUUCCAAAUUCCAAGACGCCACCAGUGGAUUCACACGUGAUCAGACCUGCUCUACUGCAUCCCCACUUGUAAAUCUGCACUACCAAAAUGGACUCGCACCUGAAUGUGGAGUAAAAUGUAGAGAACUAAAAAGUGAAAAACACACAUUUUUAGUCCCAGCUGAAGCCACAACAAAUUGUGCAAGACUGCAAUAG
ensembl:lncRNA cingulin-like